CUACGGGGGGCUGCAGUGGGGAAUAUUGGACAAUGGGCGCAAGCCUGAUCCAGCCAUGCCGCGUGAGUGACGAAGGCCUUAGGGUUGUAAAGCUCUUUUGGCGGGGACGAUAAUGACGGUACCCGCAGAAUAAGCUCCGGCUAACUUCGUGCCAGCAGCCGCGGUAAUACGAAGGGAGCUAGCGUUGUUCGGAAUCACUGGGCGUAAAGCGCACGUAGGCGGAUUUGCUAGUCAGGGGUGAAAUCCCGGGGCUCAACCUCGGAACUGCCUUUGAUACUGCAAAUCUCGAGUCCGGAAGAGGUGGGUGGAAUUCCUAGUGUAGAGGUGAAAUUCGUAGAUAUUAGGAAGAACACCGGUGGCGAAGGCGGCCCACUGGUCCGGUACUGACGCUGAGGUGCGAAAGCGUGGGGAGCAAACAGGAUUAGAUACCCUUGUAGUC
rnacentral:rRNA from 1 species